rnacentral:ncRNA from 1 species
AAGGUUUUAUUCUUGCUUAAAGUUUUAUUUAUAUUUUAUUUUACAUGUAAAUUUUUGUGAGAUUAAUUAAUAAUUUUUAAAAAAUGUUAAUUUAUUUUAUUCGCAGUAAUUAAUUUUAAUUAUUAAGGAAACUUAGAAUUAGUAAAAAUAUUGAAUACUGGCAAAAUUCGUGCCAGCUGCCGCGGUUACACGAAAAGUAUAAAUAAAUAAUUAUUGGUUUUAGUUAAAUUGAAAUUUUUAUUAAAAUAAUAUUAAUUUUAUUAGGUGAAAUUUUAAAAUUAAGUAUUUUUAAUUGAAUUUAUAUAAUUUAAGCUAUGAAAUUUUUAUAAUAAACUAGGAUUAGAUACCCUAUUAUUGAAAAUGUAAAAUUUUAAAUGCCUGAGUAGUAUGAGUUAAGUUCUUGAAACUUAAAGAAUUUGGCGGUGUUUUAGUCUAUUCAGAGGAACCUGUUUCAUAAUCGAUGAUCCACGUUGUACCUUACUUAAGUUUGUAUUCAAUUUGUAUACCGCCGUCAUCAGAAAAUCUUAUGAGAGUAAUAAUUUUCUAAAAUUUUUAUUUUAAAUUAUGUCAGGUCAAGGUGCAGUUUAUAUUUAAGUAGAAAUGGGUUACAAUAAAUUUAUUUAAAUGGAUAAUUAAUUUAAUAAUUAAUUUGAAGGUGGAUUUGAUAGUAAAAAAUUAAAGAUUGUAUUUUUGAUUUUAGCUCUAAAACAUGUACACAUCGCCCGUCGCUCUCAUUUUUAAAGUGAGAUAAGUCGUAACAUAGUAGGUGUACUGGAAAGUGUAUCUAGAUGGA